UACGAAGGGAGCUAGCGUUGUUCGGAAUCACUGGGCGUAAAGCGCACGUAGGCGGAUGUGUCAGUCAGGGGUGAAAUCCCGGAGCUCAAACUUCGGAACUGCCUCUGAUACAGCACGUCUUGAGUCCGAUAGAGGUGGGUGGAAUUCCUAGUGUAGAGGUGAAAUUCGUAGAUAUUAGGAAGAACACCGGUGGCGAAGGCGGCCCACUGGAUCGGUACUGACGCUGAGGUGCGAAAGCGUGGGGAGCAAACAGG
rnacentral:rRNA from 1 species